UUAAGCUUUUGUUUUCUUUCUCAAACGAAGGAAAGAGAAGCCCCGUUCGUUCCUCUGUCGUCUCCAUUUCUUUCCUCUCGAAAAUUUGAAUCUGAAAAUUUCUCUCUCCCCGCGCUCGUUGCUGCUCCGCCGUGCAUCAAGCGGCCGUUCCCCUGCCGUCGCCGACGAACCACAUUACGGCCGCCCCUACUCCGGAGGCUAUCGAGAAGUCGAGGACGGUGACUUAACAAAUGUCAAGUGUGACUGCUAGUGUUGCCGGCAAACGAGGGUGAGGACCGCUAAGACAAAGGUGGAGGUCCCGGACCACCCAAUAUUUUCUCCUGCUCCUCCCAGCUCGACGUUUCCACGGGGCGGGCCUCAUCCCGCCCGCGCGUCAAAGUUGAUAACGUAACGUCGCUUACCAACAAAAGCUGACCAACCGUCCAUCCCGCACCUUCGUCCUGUCAUAAUGGUGACCGCGCUUGCAGUUGCAGCGAUUCGGAUAUCCUCGAAAAGCUCGAAACUUUGAUCUCCACGAAUUCCCUAAAACGCCCACCUUCUUCACUCGCUCGACACUCGCUCGACACUCGCUCUCGCUCCGGGCGGGACAGCUCGAGAAGGGCAAAGUUCGAUUCUUUUCCCACACAAGAGCUCGACGUCGGAUGGAGAAAUCCGGGUACGGCCGCGACGGCAUCUACCGGUCGCUCCGGCCGUCCCUGGCGCUCCCCAGGGACCCCGACCUCUCAAUGGUCUCCUUCCUCUUCCGCAACUCCGCCUCCUACGCCGACAAGCCCGCCCUCGUCGAAGCCGACACGGACGAGACGCUGACGUUCGCGCAGUUCGAAUCGAGGGUGAUCAAGCUCGCUCACGGCCUGCUCAGUCUGGGCCUCAGGAAGGGCGACGUGGUGCUGAUCUUCGCCCCGAAUUCCAUCCAGUUCCCUCUCUGUUUCUUCGGGGUCACUUCCAUCGGCGCCAUUGCCACCACCGCGAAUCCCCUGUACACGUCGUUCGAGCUGUCCAAGCAAGUCAAGGACUCUAAUCCGAAGCUGAUCGUGACUGUCCCCGGACUGUGGGAAAAAGUCAAGGACUUGGAUCUCCCGGCCGUGAUCUUGGGGGGUUCCAAGAGUUUACCUCCGCAGAUUUCGUCCAGAUCAAGAAUCCUGAGCUUCCACGACCUGGUGAGCCUCGGAGAUGGCGCUUCCCGUUUCCCCAAGGUCGGUGUCAAGCAGGGCGACGUGGCGGCGCUCUUGUACUCCUCCGGUACGACGGGGACGAGCAAAGGCGUGAUCUUGACUCACGGGAAUUUCAUCGUGGCAUCCCUGAUGAUGACCAUGGAUCAAGAAAUGGCGGGGGACAUGCACCGUGUGUUCCUCUGCGUCCUGCCCAUGUUCCACAUGUUCGGGCUCGCGGUGAUCGCUUAUUCGCAGCUCCAGAAGGGGAACGCGCUCGUGUCGAUGGGGAGGUUCGAAUUCGAUUCGCUCUUAAGGGCGGUCGAGAAGUACAGGAUCACGCAUUUGUGGGUUGUCCCCCCCAUUGUACUUGCUUUGGCUAAGCAGAGUGCGGUGAGGAAGUAUGACCUCUCGUCCUUGAAGCACAUUGGUUCCGGCGCUGCGCCUUUAGGGAAGGAUGUGAUGGAGGAUUGUGCUAAGAAUUUCCCACAGGCCGACGUGAUGCAGGGUUAUGGUAUGACAGAAACUUGUGGGAUCGUCUCUGUGGAGAAUGCAAAUUUCGGCCCUCGGCAUACUGGUUCCGCUGGACAACUAGUUGCAGGAGUUGAAGCUCAAGUUAUCAGCGUGGAUACACUAAAAUCUCUUCCCCCUAAUCAGUUAGGGGAAAUAUGGGUUCGUGGACCUAACAUGAUGAAAGGAUAUUAUAACAAUCCACAAGCAACUAAAUUGACAAUUGAUAACAAGGGUUGGGUGCACACUGGAGACCUUGGAUAUUUUGAUGAGGAAGGGCAACUAUAUGUUGUUGAUCGAAUCAAAGAGCUCAUCAAGUACAAAGGUUUUCAGAUUGCUCCAGCUGAGCUUGAAGGACUCCUUCUUUCACAUCCUGAAAUUUUAGAUGCUGUUGUCAUUCCAUUUCCUGAUGCUGAAGCUGGUGAAGUUCCUAUUGCAUAUGUCGUUCGCUCACCUACCAGCUCUCUAACUGAAGAGGAAGUCCAGAAAUUCAUUGCCAAUCAGGUUGCACCAUUCAAAAGACUAAGGCGGGUGACAUUCGUCAACAGCGUCCCAAAGUCUGCUUCCGGCAAAAUAUUGAGACGUGAGCUGAUUGCAAAAGUACGAGCAAAGAUAUAGCUGUGCUUGCUCGAUGCGUGGAUCCCCCCCCCAACCCCCCGGCAGCGGGGGCGAUUAUAUUGCACCCUGCUGAUGUUAUUGUUGCUUCAAAUAAGUUGUAGUAAGGUUCUUUAAUCUGCAAUUCUGCAGUAUGAUAGAACAAAUAAGAGAAGCACAGCUGCAACAGUACUAUUUGAUAGAAUACAUGUACAGGAUUUGCGAGAAUCACUUUUCCUGGGACGUGUAUUCCACGUUCUUCCCAGAUUGUUGAAGCUUUGUGUCUUGAAGCUUUGUGUAGUGCAACUUCUAAUGCAAAUUAAAAAGAACGUGUAUCUGUAUUACUUUCCCUCGA